rnacentral:rRNA from 1 species
UAGGGAAUCUUCGGCAAUGGGGGGAACCCUGACCGAGCAACGCCGCGUGAGUGAAGAAGGUUUUCGGAUCGUAAAGCUCUGUUGUUAAGGAAGAACGAGUGUGAGAAUGGAAAGUUCAUGCUGUGACGGUACUUAACCAGAAAGGGACGGCUAACUACGUGCCAGCAGCCGCGGUAAUACGUAGGUCCCGAGCGUUGUCCGGAUUUAUUGGGCGUAAAGCGAGCGCAGGCGGUUAGAAAAGUCUGAAGUGAAAGGCAGUGGCUCAACCAUUGUAGGCUUUGGAAACUGUUUAACUUGAGUGCAGAAGGGGAGAGUGGAAUUCCAUGUGUAGCGGUGGAAUGCGUAGAUAUAUGGAAGAACACCAGUGGCGAAAGCGACUUUCUGGUCUGUCACUGACGCUGAGGCCCGAAAGCGUGGGUAGCAAACAGG